CGCCGAUGGGCUGCCCGCCGGAGGGCGGAGCCGGGGCUCGGCCUGAUGCUGAGAUGGGAAGAAGCGGGCCGGUUACAUCUCUUAGCAUCGCUGCUGCUUCUCUUUGCUUUUCUAAAGCGUUACCUUACGUGGGUACUUUGCUCGGGCUGGCUCCCAGCGGCACGUUUGUUGUGAACUACUCUGCAGUCUGCAGCCCAGCCAGAACCGGGAGGGACACCCCACGUUUUGCCUGACGCCUUUUCCUUCCAAGGCUGGAGCUGCCUCAGUCUAGCUGCUGGGCCAGCAUUAGAAGUGUGUUAAAAGGCCGAGUAAACAAAACAGGGAUGAAACCAGAAUAAUGCUGAUGUCCAGGAAGAGAUACUGUGAUACAAAUUCACUUUACGAUAAACAAGUGUCUACAAUUUUAUUUACUUAUUGCCAAAAACACCUUUGUGGACAUCUAUCCAAUUACACCAUAUAUUGCAUGACCUGUACACAACUUCCAAACGCUUCUCUGUUGUCUCAGUGCAGACAAUUUGAAGAACAGGCUGCCCCACCCCCAGCUGUGGAAUGCUUAUGACACAGUUGAGCCCUCUCUUCUAUUUUUCACAGGCUGUCCCGCUGUGAAAAAGGGCCUUUUUUUUCCACUCUUCACAGCCACCUCAAGGUGUUGAAUGCUCCGUGUGUACACACAAGUGGUCAAAACUUGUUUUCACAGAUGUUGGUACUUAAAUUUUAUAAGGAAUCUUGCUGUCGUUAAGCAGCCUUCACAGCCGAGAAGCGAGAACAUCAAUAAAAAUGACUCGCAACUUCCCGCUGCUCAGCCUAAAACACUGCCUCCAGCUGAGAGAGCCCCUGAGCCGAGCGCCGGGGCAGCGCACAGCACAGGCAGCGCUGCGGUUACGCUCCCCCGGCAGCUGCCUUCAGCCGCCAGUAGAAGCGGGAUGCUGGGCUGCAUGGAUGCUCGGCCGAGUCCUUCUUCUGAAGAUGUCCCUGAAGAGGACCGCACUCUGCGUGCCGGUGGGACAGCCGGGCAUCUGGGGAUGCAGAGGCGCACGGACGCGGAGAAGCGAGGGGCAGCCCGGGGCACGGAGGGCGGCUGUCGGGCCGGCAGAGCCCAGGUGAGCUUGGGGCUGGAGAGGAGCGGCCGGCCGAGCACGGCUCGGAAGGCGGUCCCUGGGUUGGGUGCUGAGUCGGCCCCGUCCCGGCCCCGCGCGGCCGGG
ensembl:lncRNA